GACGAACGCUGGCGGCGUGCUUAACACAUGCAAGUCGAACGAAGAGCGAUGGAAGCUUGCUUCUAUCAAUCUUAGUGGCGAACGGGUGAGUAACGCGUAAUCAACCUGCCCUUCAGAGGGGGACAACAGUUGGAAACGACUGCUAAUACCGCAUACGAUCUAACCUCGGCAUCGAGGAUAGAUGAAAGGUGGCCUCUACAUGUAAGCUAUCACUGAAGGAGGGGAUUGCGUCUGAUUAGCUAGUUGGAGGGGUAACGGCCCACCAAGGCGAUGAUCAGUAGCCGGUCUGAGAGGAUGAACGGCCACAUUGGGACUGAGACACGGCCCAGACUCCUACGGGAGGCAGCAGUGGGGAAUCUUCCGCAAUGGACGAAAGUCUGACGGAGCAACGCCGCGUGAGUGAUGACGGCCUUCGGGUUGUAAAGCUCUGUUAAUCGGGACGAAAGGCCUU
rnacentral:rRNA from 1 species